rnacentral:rRNA from 1 species
UACGUAGGGGGCUAGCGUUGUCCGGAAUCAUUGGGCGUAAAGCGCGUGUAGGCGGUCCGGUAAGUCCGCUGUGAAAGUCGGGGGCUCAACCCUCGGAUGCCGGUGGAUACUGUCGGGCUUGAGUACGGAAGAGGCGAGUGGAAUUCCUGGUGUAGCGGUGAAAUGCGCAGAUAUCAGGAGGAACACCAAUUGCGAAGGCAGCUCGCUGGGACGUUACUGACGCUGAGACGCGAAAGCGUGGGGAACAAACAGG